rnacentral:rRNA from 1 species
AACGAACGCUGGCGGCAUGCCUAACACAUGCAAGUCGAACGAGACCUUCGGGUCUAGUGGCGCACGGGUGCGUAACGCGUGGGAACCUGCCCUUAGGUUCGGAAUAACUCCCCGAAAGGGGUGCUAAUACCGGAUAAUGUCUUCGGACCAAAGAUUUAUCGCCUUUGGAUGGGCCCGCGUUGGAUUAGCUAGUUGGUAGGGUAAAAGCCUACCAAGGCGACGAUCCAUAGCUGGUCUGAGAGGAUGAUCAGCCACACUGGGACUGAGACACGGCCCAGACCAGUACGGGAGACGGUGGUGAAGCAGAGCGGACAAGGGACGGAACACGGAUCUAGCAGGUGGGCGUGAGAGAUGAAGUCUGUGUGGUUGGAACUCUCUUUGCCCGGGGAUGAAAGGGACAGGACCGGCAAAAUACGCCCGGCCUACCUCCGUGGCAGCAGCCGCGGUACGAGUCGGAAAGCACACGUCUGAAC